GCUUUACAGAGCUGCUUUCCUGAGGCAGAUCUGCCCCUGUGAAAUUGAUUUAAGAUGCUCCUGGAAUUCCCAGGAUGAUCCUCUGCACUGCCAACACCAACCCUCAGAUGUCCUCAGCACAAACUGCAGUCACUCUUCAUGGGAAGAUCAGAUUCAAGACAAGGUGUGGAACAAAAGCAGCACCCCCAACAACCUGAUAAUGUUGCAUUUCAUGUAAAAAAAGAAGGAGAAAAGACCCCCCCCCAGCCUGCUCCAAAGCCGUCUUUGAAUUCCUGCAGGAAUCCCCCUCAUUUCCACAUUCAGUAAUGUGUUUUGAAUUAGGGCUACAGCUAAUUAAAUCCACCUCAUUGCCCCUGUUAAGGAAAUUAGUUUUCUUAUCAAGAGAGUGAUUUAUCUAACAGAGUGUACUUCUGAUAAAACCCUGGUGUCAUUUACCACA